GACAGAGGGUGCAAACGUUGUUCGGAAUUACUGGGCGUAAAGCGUGUGUAGGCGGUCCGCUAAGUCGGGUGUGAAAGCCCUGGGCUCAACCCAGGAAUUGCGCGCGAAACGGGGGGGCUUGAGUUCGGGAGAGGAGCGUGGAAUUCCCAGUGUAGAGGUGAAAUUCGUAGAUAUUCGCAAGAACACCAGUGGCGAAGGCGGCUCACGUGGCCCGGUACUGACGCUGAGGUGCGAAAGCGUGGGGAGCAAACAGG
rnacentral:rRNA from 1 species